rnacentral:rRNA from 1 species
GAUGAACGCUGGCGGCGUGCCUAAUACAUGCAAGUCGAGCGAACAGACGAGGAGCUUGCUCCUCUGACGUUAGCGGCGGACGGGUGAGUAACACGUGGAUAACCUACCUAUAAGACUGGGAUAACUUCGGGAAACCGGAGCUAAUACCGGAUAAUAUAUUGAACCGCAUGGUUCAAUAGUGAAAGACGGUUUUGCUGUCACUUAUAGAUGGAUCCGCGCCGCAUUAGCUAGUUGGUAAGGUAACGGCUUACCAAGGCGACGAUGCGUAGCCGACCUGAGAGGGGGAUCGGCCACACGGGAACUGAGACACGGUCCAGACUCCUACGGGAGGCAGCAGUAGGGAAUCUUCCGCAAUGGGCGAAAGCCUGACGGAGCAACGCCGCGUGAGUGAUGAAGGUCUUCGGAUCGUAAAACUCUGUUAUUAGGGAAGAACAAAUGUGUAAGUAACUAUGCACGUCUUGACGGUACCUAAUCAGAAAGCCACGGCUAACUACGUG